UACGUAGGGUGCAAGCGUUAAUCGGAAUUACUGGGCGUAAAGCGUGCGCAGGCGGCCAUGCAAGACAGAUGUGAAAUCCCCAGGCUCAACUUGGGAACUGCGUCUGAUACUGGAUGGCUUGAAUUCGGGAGAGGGAUGCAGAAUUCCAGGUGUAGCGGUGAAAUGCGUAGAUAUCUGGAGGAAUACCGGUGGCGAAGGCGGCAUCCUGGACCGAGAUUGACACUGAUGAGCGAAAGCUAGGGGAGCAAACGGG
rnacentral:rRNA from 1 species